GGGGAUGACUGGCUUUGACAGCAUGUAGAGGUGGUUCGUAAGCACGUAGUGCGUCGUUGCUCUAGCACUUAAAUCUCAGACAUCUACACUUUUAAGUGGCGAAGAUUAUAACUACGCUCUCGCAGCGUAAUCGAAGUUUAGUAGAUUACUGCUCCUUCGCUUGAGUUUUAGCUCGCGACGAGACAUCACUCCGAUACCGUGAACCCGAGGUGGUCGGAUAUAGUGAUGCCGUAAUAUCGGGAAGGGUUGGUGGUGUGUCCCUCACCUCCGACGACAUUCAAAGGACUAAGUGAGUAGGAGGGUGGCUUUGGCCUAGCCCACUCGCCGACAAUUAAAGCAAAGCUAAACGUGUAGAAAGCGGAUUAGUUCCGUGUUUGGACGAGGGUUCGACUCCCUCCAUCUCCAC
rnacentral:tmRNA from 1 species